GUGUCUGCAAUUGCUUAUACUUUUUAAGAAGAUGCAUAGGCAAGAUGUCAUUAAGUUUAAGUGGUUGGAUCAAAACAAUCUAAGCUUCAAAUGAAGUUAUACAAAAGUAUUUUUGGUAGCUCUUGAAAUUUACCAUAAACAAGAUUCCAUUCCCAAACUCCUUCUGAUUUGAUUCCAAAAGCUCCAAUCUCAACACCAUGAAAGCAUUUAUGUUGUGGAAGCCAAGGUUUGAAGGCACAAGAUUAUGUACUACCACUUGGAGAUCUUCAAGAAAGUUGAUGUCAUAGUUUCUCCAAGUCUCGGGUGGUAUAUUGCUAUUUUCUUUAUGUUUCUUGAAAUGGAACAUUUUCAUGUCUUUGUAAUGAUCUAUCAUAUGCCCUUAUUUUACUGUUUUAUAAAACUUUUGAUCCCUCACAAUUACAUUAUUAGUAACGCACCAAAAAAAAAUCUUUGAAUUAUACACUACGUAUUUCUGGGAACACUUUGUAAAUCUAACUCCCGCAACACGGAGAUCCUUCCCUAGUUUGUUUGUAAUUUCUUAUUUACUUAAUUGUGACAUUGAAUGAGAAAUUGAGAAUGUCUUUUUCAUUUGCAUAA